UCUGCAGAGAGCAAAGGGGAAGUGUCAUUCACUACACUGUUUAAAGCUACCACACAUUCUUGAGCUGUGAAAUACGUUCAGUGCCAGGCUCUAGAUUAAUUUGGAAGAUAGAGAUAUCCAGGCCCUACUUGGCAAAGUAACUUACAGCAAAGGUUUGAUCAGCUGGAUAACAACAUGGAGAUAGAAAAAUUCCAAUCAUGCCAGAAUUCUUACUUUUAAGUGUAUAGAAGUAGAUAACCUACUGCAUUUCUGUCUUAAAAAAAAGAAUGCCAUGUUGAAAUGGAAACAAGUCUAAGAUGGAAAUAGUGAAGAAACUUUGUUUAGGUACUGGGACGUGGUUCUUUAAAGAUUUAUUAGAAAUUAAUCAAACCCCAGUUUGUAAGUGGCUGAAAUGAAUGGCAUUGAGUAGGAUCCCAAAGCACAGUUGAGUAUGGGGAGCAGGAAGAACCUUUUCAUCACUUUCAUAACUUUCACAGGGACUGAACAAUUUUGUCAGUUUUGAUUGCAGAGAAUAAUGAAAACAGAAUAAAGCUGGGGCAGGGUAAACAUUAGAAGCUUCCAUUUCCUAAGUGAUUUCCAAAGCACAGCAUGGACUUCAACCUGUUCAUAUACCUGACUUCAACUUCAGACCAAUACUGUGAUGUACAAAUCUAAGAAGCUAAGUGUCAAGAAACACAGGUAAGCUUAUUCAAUCUUGUGUUAGUUAUUUGUUGCUUUCCUUAUAUUUGAGAUUCUGGAGGAAUGAAAUGUGUUGUUCAUUCAAGGAAUGUGUGUGCAUGAUGGAUUAGAGAAGCUGGUACUAAGUAUGAGCUUUUCACUGGGCUGGAUGUAUAAUACAUAACCAAGACCAUCCACCUUAGGAUAAACAGAUUCUGCUAUUACCAAAAUAAGUGAUAAGCUGUCACAAUCUGGACUUUUUAAAGGUAUUUAACCUGCCACCCAGAUUCAUGGUGAGGAAUCCAGACAAAGGAUUACAGAUUGUGCAAUCAACUUGAAGGAAGUUGGGAAAGCCACCCAGCUCUUUAUCCUUGAUAAAAGGAUGCUCAGUGGGAGCCAGAGGGAUGUGAAUCAGUAGCAGACACUUGAGAAGCUGCCUUGGAACACAAACACCAGGGAGGAUAAUGGGAAGGUAAGAAGUUAACUGAUGUUUUGCUAAACAAGGAAGGUGAUCUGGAUGCUACAUGGGGAGUACACCUUUGGCUCCUUCAGGAAGCAUUCAAUCAGUUGCAGCAGUUGUAGCUGCCAAGUCCAUUAAAUUUGCCUACAGAAGUAAGGCUAAGUAAUAACUUGCUCUGCUAGGCCGUGCUGCUUUAGUUUGGGUACAGGCAGCAGGAAAACCAGCAAGCAAGGAAGGAGGAAAAAGCUUCAUCGCAGAUUUUCUGGCCAAAGGCCAAAUGCUGCAGAAGAGCUGUGCUUAGUUUACUGAAAUGUAAACAUUAGAGCUACAGUAAAAAAAAAGGGCAGAACUCAAAAGGAUGUUUUUUCAAAUAUACAGUAGGCAAAUACACCCAAUUCCUGUUCAUGUGUUAUGCAGGAGAGAGAUUAUGAGAGAUUGCAGCAGUGGGGAAAGAGCAACUGCAGAAGGCCCAGGAGAGAAAAUAAAGUUUUAGAUCAAUGAGCAUUUCAGAUGCUUGUCAGAGAAAAGUGCCAUAUUGAUAUUGUCUUGGCUCUUGUGUUUCCCUGGAUUUCAAAGCUUCUAUUGCUUUAGUCAUGACUGCUGGGAUGAGGAGGCAGGGAGUGGGGAAGAGGAAAUCCUACUUGUGACAGAUGUGCUUAAACCAAUAGGAAAUGGCACAGAUGAGGUUGCAUUGUCACAGCUCUGACCCGGAUCAGGGUAAGCUUGGGCAGCAAGAAAGUUCUUGCAUUGUGGUUUUUGUCCCUGCACUCAGGGCUCUGCCCACACAGAUUUAAUGAGAGAUUUCAGUAGCUGGGACCACAAUGCAAUUUGCAUGGGAUCAAGAGGAAUCCUGGUGAUAGAAGCAGAGCAGAGUUUUGAAGGCAAACUGAGCAUGGAGGGACUGGUAAAGCACACAGGAUGAGAAAUGUUGAGAGGUUAAACAAGAAAGGGCAGGUAGGCCUGGGCUGUGGGCUUGGGGGAGUUGGCAGAAUAGAAAUAUACACAAAAAAGACAGCAGGCAAAGCCAUCAGAGAUACAAGUAAAGGUCAAAACCCAAACAAAAUAGGUGAAAGAGCCAAGCAGGGAAGAAUUCAGACCUGAGGCUUCGGAGGAGGAGAAAGGGGAGGACAAUGUGGUAUUCUGCUGUGAUGGGAUCAAUUAGGUCUUGGAUGGAGGAUGGACAAGGGAGGGAGGAAAAAUCUGCAGGGCUUAGUGCUGCUGUACUUCUGCCUAGUGGAUUCUGCUUAUGAGGAAGCAUCUUAAGUGGAGCAGAGGAGUGCCCCUGUUCUGCACUUAGGUCUGUGCUGUUAUUUCCCAAGGAAGCAGGCUCUCAGCUGCUGUGUGCACCACUUGUCAUCCCCACUGACAGCAUGAAAGGCUCUGCUUUUACUGGGAUGUGAAGCAAGUGCCAUGUGCAGGAGCAACAAGGUGUGAUGGGAACAAGAGCUCUGAGCACAGUGAUUCUCUUUGGCUGCCUUCAGAUGAGUAAUUCCCAAAGCUUAAGUUAAAAACUGAAAAUUAAUAAGAUCUAAUUUUUAACCCUUUUGCUUUGCCUACAGGGAGGCCAGGCUUACCUCUCUAUACACGCUGUGAUAUGUGUAAAUCCAGCACGGCUGCCAAAUACUAUUUUUUCAAAAGUGAUAAGCCAGAACCCAAAGGGCUUUAUGCUUUAUUUGGAUAUUAACAAUAUAGAGGGUGGUCUCCUCACAGCAUUCAGCAACAGAGUUUGUCAGUUUGUCAACUUCUUCCCACAGAACAAAGUCUGAAAGUGUUCUGCAAGCUGAAAGUGCUAAAUACUAUAAAAUUGAAACCAUACUGCUCUGUGGCAGUCAUAAGUGAAUAAAUGAUAUAUCCGUGCAUAUUAGAGGAAGAAAACUGAAGUAAUUCUUACGAAAAAGAAAGCCAGGCAGGGAAAUAGAAACAGGAAAGGCACAAAGCAAAGAAACAAGAGAAGUGAAGCCACUCGUGCACAGCAAAGGGGAAGAAAUAGAAAUUAAGAGAUUGAACAUACUGUUUGGAAUUGAAUAUUGGUACCCCAGUCUUUUAACUACUAUUGCUAUUAAUUAAUUAUGUGCUCUAUUUUCCAGUCGUAUCCCUCAGGAUUUCCCAAGCAUGGCAAAAUACUCUAUCUUGCAAGGAGAAGGAGGGACAAUACCAUGCAGCAAGAUGUGCUGGCAGCAAGACCACAGCUGUCCAUCAGCAGUGGGAGUUCCUGUGUUCUCAUUCCAAAGACAUUAAAUACUGGUAUCAACUUUCCAUAAAAAAGCACAGGUAACUCAGAAAACAGCAUGGAAGAAGCCACGUCUGACUUAGUCUGGUUGCCUGAUGUAGGUCUUUAGCAUGAGAAUGAGUAAAAGACAAGAUGCUCUGGAGAGUCUGUGCAUUGGCCAGUGCUGCAGUCUUUGUUUACCUGUGCAGUACAAGAGCUGUGCAAUGUUUACAGAACAGCCUGUACAUUUUCUAAAAGGAAUGUGAGCACAGAGGUUCAUCAGCCCUGCCUUCCUUUCCGUGUACAACAUCGGUGAGAACUUACACACCACAGACUUGCUAGCACAGCCCCACUGGCUGCAGCAGCAUUACUCAACCUAGAAAUAAUAACUACUUUCCCAAUCAUAUCUCAGCUCCAGGGUGAGUUGCACAAUAUCCUUGCACCCUCAUUUUCAUACUGAGGAAUGCUGGAUGUCUGGAAUGAUAUCUGCAGUGUACCCAGCAGGCAUCUGCCUCUAAGAACCACCAAGGUUGGAAAUAUUUUCUUCUCACACACACUUGUUUGCUUCUUUUCCACUUCUUAUCUCUGCCCUGCAACAUAUUCUUCAUCAUGCUGUCCCUUUUCUGUUUAGCCCUAGUGUGACUUCAGGUAGUUUCAGCAGUGCAGUGAGGGCUGCACUAGGCCACUUUGAUUUACAUUCAUGUUAGAAUAAUUAUUCUAGGUAUUCAAAGCAUCUGACCUACCCAAAGAUGGUUCCAGCUACAUAAAGUAAAAGGAGAAAUAAAGAGGGGGGAAAAGCUGCAGUAGUUAAACUUACUGCCUAAUGGGCUUCUCUCUGCUGUUUUUCUAUGGUGGUAUAACAUAAAGAAAAAACUAACAGAA